CACGUAGGGUGCGAGCGUUGUCCGGAAUUAUUGGGCGUAAAGAGCUCGUAGGCGGUGUGUCGCGUCGGCCGUGAAAACCUGCAGCUUAACUGUGGGCUUGCGGUCGAUACGGGCAUCACUGGAGUUCGGCAGGGGAGACUGGAAUUCCUGGUGUAGCGGUGAAAUGCGCAGAUAUCAGGAGGAAUACCGGUGGCGAAGGCGGCAUCCUGGACCGACAUUGACGCUGAGGAGCGAAAGCUAGGGGAGCAAACGGG
rnacentral:rRNA from 1 species